rnacentral:lncRNA from 1 species
CUGAGUCAUUGUCAUUUUUGCUGAGUCAUGCUCAUGACUAUGACUUCUACCAAUAUCAUUUAGUGCUUCCUUAGCUUAGUACCCGCGUCCGAACCCAUUUCAGUGGUUUUUGAGUGUUAAUCUUUUUCGCUGAGUC